UUGGCUCCAGGAAACGAGACUUUACCUAUUAGGGCCGUCAGUCCCUCCCUUCCUCCGACUUGGAUAAGAGCCUGCGAGCCCAUCUUGGGGUUGCGGCCACUGCAUGACUGAGGAGUGGUGUAGGUCCGCACUUGGGAUCUGAACCCGCAAACCUGGGCCACUGAAGUGGAACUCAAGGGACUUAACCGCUAGGACACGGUGCUGGCCCCAAGACAAGGAAAGGAGUAACAGUAACAUCUCCCAAUGACUAAGGAAUUCAAUUCUUCCCUAUGGACCUAAUUCUUUUAACACUUGGAAAAUGUAAAGGAAAAUAAGAAUACUUUUAGUUGGAUGUCCAAAGAGAAAGAAGAGAAAGAAAAUUUUUUUUAAAAAAUUCUGCUAUGGUAGGGUAAGUGGAA